rnacentral:misc_RNA from 1 species
GAUGAAGAACGUAGCGAAAUGCGAUACUUGGUGUGAAUUGCAGAAUCCCGUGAACCAUCGAGUCUUUGAACGCAAGUUGCGCCCGAAGCCAUUAGGCCGAGGGCACGCCUGCCUGGGCGUCACACGUCGUUGCCCCCCCAUCUACUCCUUCGGGAUUGCGGGGGGCGGAUGAUGGCCUCCCGUGCGCCUCGUCGCGCGGUUGGCAUAAAUGCCAAGUCCUCGGCGACGCACGCCACGACAAUCGGUGGUUGCGAAACCUCGGUUGCCCGUCGUGUGCGGUCGUCGCGCAUCGAGGGCUCGAAAAAAUUGCCGGGCUCCGGCUCGGCUUUCAACGCGACCCCAGGUCAGGCGGGGUUACCCGCUGAAUUUAAGCAUAUCAAUAAGCGGAGG